UAAAUAGGUCAUUUCCAAUUCUCUUUCUUGAGGCUGAAAAUAAUAAUAAUAAUAAUAAUAAUAAUAAUAAUAAUAAUAAUAAUAAUAAUAAGAAGAAGAAGAAGAAGAAGAAGAAGUAGAAUCCAUUAUGUCUAACUCAGCUAUAUACAAUUAUGAAGGAAUCCUAGCAUCAUAUUCACUGUAAUACCACCCACACCUUCCCCCUUUUUUUGCAGGUUAUUAUAUAUAUAUUUGCAUUUAUUUAUGCAUAUUAUGCAUAUUUCUCUGGCCCUUGCAUUCUUUUCCUUAAAGAAUGACAUAUAACAUUUUAUCUUCAUAAAUAAUGAAGAUACAGUGUGACACAUUUUGAAGGAAAUACCACAGUUUGAAAUCAUUUACACUGCUUUACUCUGUCAUCCAUUCAGAAAAAAAUCUGGCAGAUGAUCAAAGUUCACCUAGUGUCACUUUAUGUAAUAUGUCAAACACAAGAACAUGUGUAAACAGGUGUGUUUGACUGUAGGUUUGAGACUGCAAUGCUGUGAACAAAACAUAGUUGAAGCUGUGAAGAAGGAAGUGAUUCAUAAAGAUUGCUCAACAUCUUUUGCUAUGCGGCUAAUCAACCCUUACUUGCUCCAGGUAGAAUUGUAAAUCACUGAACCAUUCACACACACACACCUGAGGCGCAGUCGUGUGUUAUUAGCUGAUGCCACACCUCCUGUUUAAAACAAGAGGCAAAAACAGACAGCAACCUGUUGAACAACAAGUUCAGCUUUCACACAGAUGCAACCAGUGUGCUCAGUGACUUAAGACAGUGAUUACCAGCUCUGGAUUUGCUUCAAAGCUCUUUAGAAUACACCAGAAAUAUAAUGAAUCUGUUUAGGGGCUCCUUUUCAGUAUAAUAAAUUAUAUUAUAUUAAAUGACCUGAGACAGUUAGUAUAUGCCACUAUUUGUAUGAUGAAUUACAACCAACGAUUAAUUCAAUUUCACUAAUAUUGUCUUUAAUUAUGGGGACUUGUUCAGUUAACAGCUAUUUGUUGUUCACUGAUGGAUGUUGAAUUUAACCACUACAUAAGCAUGAGCUAAAUAUUUAGAUUACAUAAUGGAAAAUAGUGUUCCUGUGCACAGCUCUGUUCCUUUUUUAAGUUCUGCCUUCUGGAGCUGUGCAUACAAAAACCUCCUUUACUCACACAAACACUGGCUAAAUUACACACAUAUGACAAAGUUCCUAGUUUGGCUGAAAAGAACUGCAGUGAAAUACAUUCGUUUUAGACGCAUGGCUACACUAUGUUCUCUGCAUUGCGUGACCGUAAUUGCUGUGCAUGCAUGUGUCUAACCUUCUAACUUCUUUGCCUGAAGUUAGCCAGCAAGAAGUUUUCUGAUGUCGAUCAGUUCAUCUGCAUGUUCACACACACACACACACACACACACACAUAAAAACACCACUCAUGAAUGUACAACCCUGUCAUAAAAUACAUAAUCCUCUGCAGAUUAUCUCAGAGUAAGUGCUCCAAGCCUUUCAUUGGAAACAAGGAGAGCUGUUUUCAGUGCUGCACAUUUAAGAUAUAUUUAAAGCUUAUUUGACCAUUGACUUGAUUUAGUGCUUCAUCUUGUAUCAUUAAAAACACUGCAUUUUCCUGUUCUACAAAUAAAGACACAAUAGGCUCUCAUUAAAGGGGUUAUUUCCAAAAACAGCCAAUUGAGAAGAAAAAAUAGAAUAGAAUAAAUCAAAUGGAUGGAAAUGAAUUAAAAGAAAGAAUCCUUUUAAUCUAUAAAAUAAAAUUGCUAGUGGGAAAAAAAAACUAAUACUGGUAAUACUUUUCUAAAUUGAUGUUUCAUAAUGGAAACUGGUUUGUUUAGCUCUAGUCUUGUAUUUUUUAUAGUUCAGUUUGGGCUAGAAAUCUAUAUUUGUGAGGAAUGACAGUAACCUAGAGGCCAGCUUGCUUUUAGGAAAAUGCUUUAUUCAGUAUAAAUAGUUUGCAGUAGUUACUUAAUAAACCUAGAUUAACUCGUAAAACAACAACAACUAAGCAAUAUAUAGUUUGCAAGUUGGGAUAUUCUAGUACAUAGGGUUAGACAAAUCAGAAGCUGUGCCCCCUGAGGCAAGCAGAUUCAACAACCUGAGAAAGAAUCCUACUCCUUAUUGUCUUUAGCCAAGCAAAAUUUUUCAUCUGGUAUGCAUAUUUAAGUGUAAUGCACUUCACAGUAGAAUACCUCAAUCUACUUGUUCAAGGGCCCAACAGUGGCAGCUUGGCAGUGCUGGGGCUUGAACCCUGACCUUCCGAUCAGUAAUUAUGAUAAUUAUGUAAUGUUACAGUAGUGCAUUAUUGCACAUUUGUUACAUAUAUGUAUCACUGUUAUGCUGCUUCUUAGUUUUAACUACUUAUAUCUGGCAUUUUUCACAUUUUUACUAUUCACACUCUAUACAUUCUAUACAUUUAUAUGUUCAACUUGCAAAGUAUACAGCAAGUACCACUUGUAAGUAAUACAAGUAAGUAAUCUGAUACACUUUGAGUAAUUAUCACAUUGUGGAAACUAUCACAAUGUGAUACCACUAUUAAAAUACCAAAUAUAAACUUUGUGGCAGAAAUGACUUACAAUAAGUAUUUACUGUACUGAAAAAUAAAGAGCUCAAAUAUUAUUACUAACUCAAGUCAAUCACCUUAGUCAUUAAAUAGUCAUCAGAACAAGGUAACUAUGAACAGAACUUAUUGUGAGACAUUUCACUUGUUUAAAUAUUAAAUUUGAUGUUAACAAAACCUUCAGGAAGAAGAAUAAGCAUGCACAAUGUAUUGAUCAUUCAUCACGCUUUUUUCUAUGGAAAAAGAGAUCCAAGCCUCCUACAGCUAACUCAGCAUUGCUCAGCCAGAAUGUUUUUUUUUUUUAUUAUACAUUUUUUUAGUUUAUAAUAUUUCAACAUGUUGAGAAAUAUUAUGUUUCAUAAACUAUUUAAACUACUAAACCUAACUGUUUAGAGAAAAAGUAAAGUCUGGUUAUAAAUAAAGGGUAUAGUAUUUGACAUUUGAGUUAUAGAGUGUUUUUGACACAAGUGUUGUACGAGAACGAUAUAUUAUUCAAUCCUGACCUGUGUGUGGAGACCUAUUUAAAGUGUGGGUAUGUAAGCUAAUAAUUGUGUUCCAUUAAAACAGACAUUAGAUCAGUAAAGUCAGGCGCUGUUUGACAGAGACAACAUUAUUAGUUGGCUGGCCCUGACUUCUAAAGUUCAGAUUUCCAGUGCAAUUUCCUGUCUCUUUGAUUCUGAAGCACUCUCAACAUUUGGACAAAGAAAGCCUUUGUGAUUGACUGAUGCUAUCUAAAGAGAAAGAACACAUAUUAUAUUUUCAUAAACAAAGCACAUACACAGACAAAACACGCACACCUCUAUAAAAACUUUCGUACCGGCAAAAGUAAACUUGCAUGUGGAAUGCCAGUGAAUACCAUGAAAUUGUGUUGUUUGGGUUAUAACCAGUGUAGCAUAGUCAUAGCUAUUACAUUUUAUACCCCAGCGCUGCUGAAUUCUCGAAUCAGAAGUUAUGAAUUAUUUUAUUUUAUUUUUUACUAACAGCAUGACUCUGACAGUAGUUCCAGCUAUAACUUAAAUCACAGGUUUAUAUUAAUGAGUUAAUUCGAGUAUAUUAUCAUUUUCAUAGUAACAGCUCAUUCACAGUGAAUUGUAUGGUGGAUGCUCUACAUUAUCUAACGCUAAUAAUAAACAGAUUUAAAAACACUGUUGUUAUUUAACAAAGGAAAAUGUAUUAUCGUUGAUAUGGUGACUUUAUCUGUUAGGAGACUUAUUUGACAUUUUAUGGAAGAAGUCUCAGAAUUCGGUCCUUUGUAAUCAUCAGCAAGUUUUCCAUCAGGGGAGAGUGUUUAGUUAUAACAGGAAUUAACUUAUUUUUCACAAAUGUUCCAGAACAUUUAAAGUAACUACAAACUAUUAAAAAGCAUGAAGUGUCCAUCAAUCCAUUUUUCACACCGCUUAUCCUACCCAGGGUUACAGGGAGCCUGGAUCAUAUCCUAGGGAGCUAGGGGAACAAGGUGGGGGACAUCCUGGAUGGGGUGCCAACCCAUCGCAGGGCACAAUCGCACACUACACACAAUUUGGAAAUGCCAAUCAGCCUACAAUGCAUGUGUUUGGACUGGGUGAGGAAACUGGAGUACCUGGAGGAAACCCCUGAAGUAAGGGGAGAACAUGCAAGCUCAGCGCACACAGGAUCGGAGGUGGGAUUCGACCCCCAACACUGGUGGUGUGAGGCAAACUUGUUAACACUAAGCUAAUAUGCCCCCCCACAGCAUGAAGUGUCAUUCAUUAAUAAAUAAAAUAUUGUGUGAUGUAAUAUAGGAAAAGAAUCCAUGCUGCUGUGGUGUGAUGUUGCAUGAGGCCAAUGAGGAUUAUGCAGAAAUGCAUGUUUUCACUUACUUAAAUUGAAUACACAUUUAUUAAGGGAUUAGGCAUUAGAAUGCAGCAUCUGCCUCUAAAGAGUUCCAACAUUCAUCAUUAUCAUCCUCAUUAUCAUCAUCAAAUCAUACCCAGCAUAAGCCAACAGGUGACCUGACACAGCUGGAGUCUGGAACAUUCCAUUCGGCUGAGUGGAGUGAUGAGAUCAGCACUAUCAGCGAGCAUCAUCGGCUACAGGCCGAUGAAAUAUGUGGACAAGACUUGAACUGAGCUACAUUUAGCAUUACUAGUUUCACGGAACAUCAUGAGAAGGCCAUCACUGUGGUGGAACAGCCAAGGUUACAG
ensembl:lncRNA